rnacentral:rRNA from 1 species
GGAAUAUUGGACAAUGGGGGCAGCCCUGAUCCAGCCAUGCCGCGUGUGUGAAGAAGGCCUUCGGGUUGUAAAGCACUUUCAGUGAGGAAGAAGGCCUUGCGGUUAAUACCCGCGAGGAAGGACAUCACUCACAGAAGAAGCACCGGCUAACUCCGUGCCAGCAGCCGCGGUAAUACGGAGGGUGCGAGCGUUAAUCGGAAUUACUGGGCGUAAAGCGCGCGUAGGUGGCGUGAUAAGCCGGUUGUGAAAGCCCCGGGCUCAACCUGGGAACGGCAUCCGGAACUGUCAGGCUAGAGUGCAGGAGAGGAAGGUAGAAUUCCCGGUGUAGCGGUGAAAUGCGUAGAGAUCGGGAGGAAUACCAGUGGCGAGGGCGGCCUUCUGGACUGACACUGACGCUGAGGUGCGAAAGCGUGGGUAGCA